GUCUAUGGCCAUGCCACCCUGAACAAGCCCAAUCCCAUCUGAUCUCGGAAGCUAAGCAGGGUCGGGCUUGGUUAGAACUUGGAUGGGAGACCACCUAGGAAGACCAGGUGCCAUAGGCG
rnacentral:rRNA from 1 species